UUUGACAGACCUAGUUGAGCCAGUAUGUACUUGAGCUCCUUUAAACAAGAAUCAGUUUGUUUCUGAUUAAACAAAAGAAAUGAAGAAAGAUGAAUGAAGCCACAGGCAACAGAAGCACUAUUUCAGAUACCACACCCCUGUUUCUUUCGGAAUCUUUCCCUGCUUUGACAGACCUAGUUGAGCCAGUAUGUACUUGAGCUCCUUUACUUGAAAAUAUGCCAAUUUGUCCUACAGGAUGAGAAUGAAAAAGUGUUGCUAAUAAACACACUGCCAAGGAAAAAAUCUCCACCGAUCCUAACAAUUUGGUCAUACACAUUGCUAAAUAGAAACUUCCCUGACAGACAAGAAGCACUGUUCCAGUGGCAGUUCAAGAAAAUUUCUAGGGUUAAAAGAAAGAUUUCCUGAUCCAUAGAGUGGGGGGGUUUCGUAGCAUUAAAUGAACUAAUUUAUAUAAAGCCACAUCAUUCUAAUCAUAUCUAUCUGUUGAAGAAGAACCAGCCUUGAACUAGGGACUGUUAGAGCAGAAACUAAAAGGAAAAACAACCAGUUUGCAAGAACUUCUCUUAGGACUAAAAUCAAACAGCUGGUACGCAAUCAACCAAGGUCAAGAACACAAGAGACUUAUCGUGGUUCGAUCAACUUGAUCUACAUCCACACUGAUUUCCUGAAGCCUUUAUUCAAGUGUGCUAACCAGAGAUUACACAAGAAUCAAAACAAAGAAAUUACAAGCUUUUCCCAAGAACCCUCCUCACCUCUGUUUCUCUCUAUCUCAAGAUAACCUAAACAGACCUAUGGUUAUGGAUUUGCAAAGCUCUCUUUUCUGUUUCUUGCUCUCUGUUUCUUGCUCUCUGUUCUAUACAACUGAAUGCCUCCACUCUGUUUCUCCCGAGACUGCACCCUUUUAUAUCAAUCACAAGCCUCUAACUAACUAACAAAUGCUCCCAUCUGUUAUUUGCUUAGUCAACAGCCUUGCCACUUGUCACUUGAUAGUUGGCAAUCUCUACAAAACUCCACCUUGACAACCUAUUAAGUUGACAAGUGUCUGAACUACCUUCAGGUCUCAGUACCUUCCCUAAUGGGAAGUCUUCAGCAAUCUCCCAUGUUGAUCAAAUUCAAACAGUGUUUGAACUUAGUCACAUUUAGAGACUUAGUCAACAUGUCGGAUGGAUUGUCUUUAGUAUGAACUUUUCCUACUCCAAUCUCUCCUGCAGCAAUGAUAUCUCUCACAAAGUGCAAUCUUACAUCAAUGUGUUUGGACCUUUCGUGGAAGGAUUGAUUCUUGGCUAAAUGGAUUGCACUUUGGUUAUCACAAUAUACAACAACUUUACCUCUGUACAUAGCCAAUUCUUCUGUAAUACCCUUCAGCCAAAUUGCCUCCUUCACAGCCUCUGUCAUUGCCAUGUAUUCAGCUUCAGUGGUUGAAAGAGCUACCACUGAUUGAAGGUUGGCCUUCCAACUCACUGCUCCUCCAAACACUGUGAAUACAUAUCCAGUAAGAGACUUUCUGGUGUCAAUGUUUCCAGCAUAAUCAGCAUCUACAAACCCUUGUAGCUGAGUUUCCAAUUGACUAUUACCUCCAUAAACCAGGCCCAAGCUUCUAGUACCAGCUAAGUAUUGAAAAAGCCACUUUACUGCUUGCCAAUGUGGCUUUCCAGGGCAGCUCAUGUAUCUACUUAUCAUGCUAACCGCAUAUGCAAGAUCAGGCCGAGAACACACCAUAGUGUACAUCACACUACCCACCAUGCUAGCAUAAGGUAUCCUUUCCAUAAACCUUUUCUCUUCAUGAGUCUCAGGUGCUUGUGUUAUGGAAAGUCUAAAAUGUUGUCCUAGAGGAGUACUCACUGUCUUUACAUUAUUCAUCUCAAAUCUGCUUAGUACCUUUGAGAUGUAUGAAUUUUGAGAAAGCCUAAGUACCCUCUUGCUCCUGUCUCUUUCUAUCUCCAUUCCCAAAAUCCUCUUGGCUGAACCAAGAUCUUUCAUUUCAAAUUCAGCCUUAAGCAUCUCUUUGACUUGCUCCAAGUGUCUUUUCUCCUUACAUGCCACCAGCAUGUCAUCUACAUAUAGUAAAAGAUAUACCAUGCUGUCUUCAGUUAGCUUAAAAUAUACACAUCCAUCAUGGCUGCUCCGAUUGAAUCCAAUAUCCAGCAUGUACUUAUCAAAUCUCUUAUACCAUUGCCUAGGUGAUUGCUUUAGACCAUAAAGAGAUUUCUUAAGUAAACAUACCUGACCAUCCUUGAUUCCUUCCCCAAAGCCUUCAGGUGGUUGCAUAUAAAUCAGCUCAUCAAGCUCUCCAUGCAAGAAUGCUAUCUUCACAUCUAGUUGAUCCAGCUCCAAGUCUUCAUGAGCUACAAAAGCCAACAGCAAUCGGAUUGAGCUGUGUUUGACUACAGGAGAGAAUAUCUCAUUGUAGUCAACUCCCUCCUUUUGUGAAAACCCCUUAGCCACCAGCCGUGCCUUGUACCUUGGAGCCUCAUUCCCUAGUGUCCCUUGCUUUCUUUUGAAAACCCACUUGGAGCCUACUACCUUUCGGUCCUUGGGUUUAGUGACUAAUUCCCAAGUCUCAUUUUUCCUUAAGGAAUCCAUCUCCUCUUGUAUAGCUUUUACCCACUGAUCAGCCUCAUUGCUAUUGAUGGCUUCUUGGUAUGUUUUUGGUUCCAUAUCCACUAUUUCUUCAGCUACACUCAAUGCAAAUGCUGUCAUUUCAGCUUGGCCAUAUCUCUUGGGAGGUUUGACUUGUCUUUUCUGCCUGUCUCUUACCAGAUUAUAGGAUUCCAGCCCUUGAGUUGGUUCAUUUUGUCUUUCAUGUACAAUUUCUUCUUGAGUUGUCUUUGAUGAAGUCUCUUUAGACUUUUCAGGUUGCAAAGUCUCAUGCUCCACCUCAAACUGUAACUGAUCUAACCCUUCCACAUCUUUGGCUGGAGUUUGUUUUGACAUAUCUUGCUCAUUAAAAGUUACAUCUCUGCUAAUUAUACACUUCCCUUUGCCUUGUGUUUCUAUCCACAACUUGUAACCUUUAACUCCUUUCGGAUACCCCAAGAAAAUACACUUUACAGCCCGUGGUUCUAACUUAUCUGUUUUGGUGUGUACAUAAGCUGUGCAUCCAAAAACUUUGAGAUGUUGAUAAUCUGCAGCUUUCCCAGUCCACUUUUCUUGAGGGGUUUUGAAUUGUAAUGCUGAUGAUGGGCUCCUGUUGAUCAAAUGGACAGCUGUUUCUGCAGCCUCAGCCCAAAAAACCUUUGACAACCCUGAACUUGACAGCAUGCAUCUCACCCUCUCCAAAAUGGUCCUAUUCAUGCGCUCAGCUAGGCCAUUUUGUUGAGGUGUAUAUCUGACAGUUCUAUGUCUAGCUAUGCCUUCCUUUUGACACAAUGAAUUAAAAUCAUUUGAUAGGAAUUCAAGCCCAUUAUCCGUUCUCAACUUCUUCACUUUUCUGCUUGUCUGAGUUUCAACCAGAAUUUUCCACUCUUUGAACUUUAGGAAGGUCUCACUUUUAUUUUUAAGAAAAUAAAUCCACACUUUCCUAGAGUAAUCAUCAAUAAGAGUUAAGAAGUACCUUGCUCCACCUAUUGAUGGUACCCGUGAUGGUCCCCACAAGUCAGAGUGUAUGUAGUCCAGCUGGUUUUGUGUUUCAUGUAUUGCUUUGGCAAACUUCACCCUUGUAGCCUUGCCAAACACACAAUGUUCACAAAAGGGCAAAUCUGUUAGCUUGUAGUUUCCCAACACUCCUUGCUUCUCCAGCUCUUGUAGUCCCCUGUGGCUGAUGUGACCAAGCCUCUGAUGCCAUAGCUUGGUUGUCCCCACAUCCUCCUUCAGCACAGUAGAAACUUUCCCUGUCACAGUUUGGCCUAUAAGAGUGUACAACCCAUUUUUUAUUGUCCCUUUCAUGACAGUAAGUGAACAUCUAGCAACUCUCAAAGAGUUAGGUUCUGACUUGAAUGUAUAUCCUGACUUGUCCAACAUUCCAAGUGAGAUAAGGUUCCUUUUUAACUCGGGUAUAUACCUAACAUCUUCAAGAACUCUUUCAAUGCCAUCAUAGUGCUUGAUCCUGACAGUACCAGUACCUAGAAUCUUGCAAUGUUUAUUGUUGCCUAGCAGAACAUAACCUCCAUCAGCUUCUUUAAAGUCUUCAAACCAAGCUUUGAUAGGACACAUGUGAAAAGAGCACCCUGAAUCAAGUAUCCACUCCUUACUCGAGUCCACCUCUGCCACAUUCAGCACCUCAGCACUGUCAUAUCCAUCCAAAAUCACAGCAGCAUCACCUUCAUUCACGGUUUUCUUGACUGUGUUUUGUCUCCUAUCCGGGCAAUCUUUCUUGAAGUGCCCUUCCUUGUGACAGAUAAAACACUUGAACUUCUUGGUCUUGGAUUUUGAUCUGGACUUUGAAUUCUUGCCCUUCUUUUCUCGUUUUUCAGAUCUGCCCCUGAUGUUUAAACCCUCACCCGACUCCUCCUUGGAUUCUUCUUGUUUCUGUAAUUCUCUAGCAUGCAAAAUGGACUGCACCUCAUCAAAGGUCAGGCUGUCUCUCCCAUACAUUAUGGCAUCUUUCAUGUUAGUGUAUGAUGCAUCUAAAGAAGUCAGUAAUAGAAUUGCUUUAUCUUCGUCUGAUAUUGUGAUAUCAAUAUUUUCCAAAUCCAAGAUUAUCUUAUUGAAGUGAUCAAGAUGAUCUUCAAUUGACAUACCUGGGGUCAUCUUGAAAGUAUAUAACUUGAUCUUCUUAUGUAAUCGGUUUGCUAAUGACUUGGUCAUGUAUAGGCUCUCAAGCUUGAGCCACACCUCAGCUACAGACUUUGCUUUGGCCACCUCUCUCAACACAGUAUCACCUAAAGAAAGAAUGAUAGCACUGUGAGCUUUCUCCAACAGCUCUAUUUUUUGUUUUUCUUGCAUGGUACUGGGUAGGUUUUUCUCUCCAAGUAGGGCAUCUUGGAGCCCUUGUUGAACCAGCAAUGCCCUCAUCUUUAGUCUCCAUAACCCGAAAUCAUUUUUGCCCGUAAACUUUUCUACAUCAAACUUUGCAGUCCCCAUUAUAACCCAAAGGCUCUGAUACCAAUUGUUGAAGAAGAACCAGCCUUGAACUAGGGACUGUUAGAGCAGAAACUAAAAGGAAAAACAACCAGUUUGCAAGAACUUCUCUUAGGACUAAAAUCAAACAGCUGGUACGCAAUCAACCAAGGUCAAGAACACAAGAGACUUAUCGUGGUUCGAUCAACUUGAUCUACAUCCACACUGAUUUCCUGAAGCCUUUAUUCAAGUGUGCCAACCAGAGAUUACACAAGAAUCAAAACAAAGAAAUUACAAGCUUUUCCCAAGAACCCUCCUCACCUCUGUUUCUCUCUAUCUCAAGAUAACCUAAACAGACCUAUGGUUAUGGAUUUGCAAAGCUCUCUUUUCUAUUUCUUGCUCUCUGUUCUAUACAACUGAAUGCCUCCACUCUGUUUCUCCCGAGACUGCACCCUUUUAUAUCAAUCACAAGCCUCUAACUAACUAACAAAUGCUCCCAUCUGUUAUUUGCUUAGUCAACAGCCUUGCCACUUGUCACUUGAUAGUUGGCAAUCUCUACA
rnacentral:lncRNA from 1 species